rnacentral:snoRNA from 14 species
CAUCGCUCUCCAGCUCCAUGCAGACGUAAGAAAGUCAGUGUGGCGUUUUCAUGAGCGGAAAUUGUACACUGUUCCAUAAAACAAUUGUUACACUCUUUAUGAGAGAACGAUCACCUAAUGGUUCAAACAUUU